rnacentral:rRNA from 1 species
UACGUAGGCAGCAAGCGUUGUUCGGAGUUACUGGGCGUAAAGGGUGUGUAGGCGGUUCUUUUUAAGUUUGGUGUGAAAUCUCCCGGCUCAACCGGGAGGGUGCGCCGAAAACUGAAGGGCUAGAGUGCGGGAGAGGAGAGUGGAAUUCCUGGUGUAGCGGUGAAAUGCGUAGAUAUCAGGAGGAACACCGGUGGUGUAAACGGCUCUCUGGACCGUAACUGACGCUGAGACACGAAAAGCGUGGGUAGCAAACAGG